GGUCUGAUGGUCUAGUAGCUUUGGGUAACGUUUCAGCUGCUGGUAUAUGCGAGAGGUCCUGGGUUCAAUUCCCAGUCAGGCCG